UGGGAAUUGAUGAAUUAAGGAAGCAGUAGCACUCCCUCCCGAUGUUUUGCCAGAAGCUCGUUUUCCGACAGAAAGAGAAAACUUCAGCCCCGGACCGAAAGGUGGGCGUCUCGAUCUAAACCAGCCUUGUCUACCAAGAAUCGAUACAUCGAGAAGGUAGCAUGUCGAACUAGAAUGCCCUUAAUUGAGGAAGUGAAAACUCCUUUGAAAAGCUUCUAUCUGACAGGAGGAAGUACUCAACUAGUGAAUGAAAGGAAAGAUGACGCCCAGGCGAAGUCAACUUAUUCAACAGUCCUCUUUA
rnacentral:lncRNA from 1 species